rnacentral:misc_RNA from 1 species
CCUAGAGUUGUAGGCUUUGCCUGCUAUCUCUUACCCAUGUCUUUUGAGUACCUUCGUUUCCUCGGCGGGUCCGCCCGCCGAUUGGACAAUUUAAACCAUUUGGCAGUUGCAAUCAGCGUCUGAAAAAAACUUAAUAGUUA